rnacentral:rRNA from 1 species
UACAGAGGGUGCUAGCGUUGUUCGGAAUCAUUGGGCGUAAAGCGCGUGUAGGCGGCUUUGCAAGUCGGGUGUGAAAGCCCUCAGCUUAACUGAGGAAGUGCGCCCGAAACUGCAGAGCUUGAAUACCGGAGAGGAUGGCGGAAUUCCCCAAGUAGAGGUGAAAUUCGUAGAUAUGGGGAGGAACACCGGUGGCGAAGGCGGCCAUCUGGACGGCUAUUGACGCUGAGACGCGAAAGCGUGGGGAGCAAACAGG